AACGAACGCUGGCGGCAGGCUUAACACAUGCAAGUCGAACGCUCCGCAAGGGGAGUGGCAGACGGGUGAGUAACGCGUGGGAACGUGCCCUAAGGUACGGAAUAACUUCGGGAAACUGAAGCUAACACCGUAUGUGACCGAGAGGUGAAAGUUUAUCGCCUUAGGAUCGGCCCGCGUCAGAUUAGCUAGUUGGUGGGGUAAUGGCCUACCAAGGCGACGAUCUGUAGCUGUUCUGAGAGGAAGAUCAGCCACACUGGGACUGAGACACGGCCCAGACUCCUACGGGAGGCAGCAGUGGGGAAUCUUGGACAAUGGGCGCAAGCCUGAUCCAGCCAUGCCGCGUGGAUGAUGAAGGCCCUAGGGUUGUAAAAUCCUUUCGUCAGGGACGAUAAUGACGGUACCUGAAGAAGAAGCUCCGGCUAACUUCGUGCCAGCCGCCGCGGUAAAAC
rnacentral:rRNA from 1 species